rnacentral:rRNA from 1 species
AGAGUUUGAUCAUGGCUCAGAUUGAACGCUGGCGGCAUGCCUUACACAUGCAAGUCGAACGGCAGCACGGGGGCAACCCUGGUGGCGAGUGGCGAACGGGUGAGUAAUACAUCGGAACGUGCCCAGUAGUGGGGGAUAGCUCGGCGAAAGCCGGAUUAAUACCGCAUACGACCUACGGGUGAAAGCGGGGGAUCGCAAGACCUCGCGCUAUUGGAGCGGCCGAUGUCAGAUUAGGUUGUUGGUGGGGUAAAGGCCUACCAAGCCGACGAUCUGUAGCUGGUCUGAGAGGACGACCAGCCACACUGGGACUGAGACACGGCCCAGACUCCUACGGGAGGCAGCAGUGGGGAAUUUUGGACAAUGGGCGAAAGCCUGAUCCAGCCAUGCCGCGUGCGGGAAGAAGGCCUUCGGGUUGUAAACCGCUUUUGUCAGGGAAGAAAUCUUUCGAGCUAAUACCUUGAGAGGAUGACGGUACCUGAAGAAUAAGCACCGGCUAACUACGUGCCAGCAGCCGCGGUAAUACGUAGGGUGCAAGCGUUAAUCGGAAUUACUGGGCGUAAAGCGUGCGCAGGCGGUUGUGCAAGACAGGUGUGAAAUCCCCGGGCUUAACCUGGGAACUGCACUUGUGACUGCACGGCUGGAGUACGGCAGAGGGGGAUGGAAUUCCGCGUGUAGCAGUGAAAUGCGUAGAUAUGCGGAG